rnacentral:rRNA from 1 species
UUAAGAAUCUUGCGCAAUGGGGGCAACCCUGACGCAGCGACGCCGCGUGGAUGAUGAAGGCCUUCGGGUUGUAAAGUCCGGUAAGCAGGGAAGAAUAAGCAACGGGAAAUAUUCGUUGUGAUGACGGUACCUGCCUAAAGCCCCGGCUAACUACGUGCUAGCAGCCGCGGUAAUACGUAUGGGGCGAGCGUUGUUCGGAAUUAUUGGGCGUAAAGGGCGUCUAGGCGGGGAAUUAAGUUAGGUGUGAAAGCCUCGGGCUCAACCCGAGAACUGCAUCUAAAACUGAUUCUCUUGAGUUCGGGAGAGGAGAGCGGAAUUCCAGGUGUAGCGGUGAAAUGCGUAGAUAUCUGGAAGAACACCAGUGGCGAAGGCGGCUCUCUGGCCUAGGACUGACGCUGAAGCGCGAAAGCGUGGGGAGCGAACA